rnacentral:rRNA from 1 species
CGUGUAGGCGGGUCUUUUAAGUCAGGGGUGAAAUGCCAAGGCUCAACCUUGGAACUGCCUUUGAUACUGGAGAUCUUGAGUCCGGGAGAGGUGAGUGGAACUGCGAGUGUAGAGGUGAAAUUCGUAGAUAUUCGCAAGAACACCAGUGGCGAAGGCGGCUCACUGGCCCGGAACUGACGCUGAGACGCGAAAGCGUGGGGAGCAAACAGGAUUAGAUACCCUGGUAGUCCACGCUGUAAACGAUGGAUGCUAGCCGUUGGGGAGCUUGCUCUUCAGUGGCGCCGCUAACGCAUUAAGCAUCCCGCCUGGGGAGUACGGUCGCAAGAUUAAA